UCAUAGAUUUAGAGUUGGUUUGACAAGCUGUUGUGAAGUCAUGACUGAUACAGGUAAAGAGAGAUGUGCUCAGCAAGUGGUAGAACAAUAACAUAUCACCCUCGGGAAUAUGCAGCUCAGCCUCCAAGUUUUAUAGAUGACUAAAUGUUUGUGAAAAGUCACAGCCUAGCUUUAAUUGUGGAAUGACCUGGUUGUAUAGUGGAUCUGGAAGCAGAAACAAAACAGAAUAGACAGGAAAAAAAAAAAAGACCGAUCUUGGAUGAUGUGAUUUAAUGGGUUUCAGUUAAAGCUUGGAAGAGUAAAUCAAAAACUAACUUAAUAUUUGUUGUAGGUUCUUACCAUUUAUUUUACGGAACGACACUACCAGCAUUAAUGGUUUAAAGAGAAACAGCUCAAACUAGUGAUGAUGUGGACUUCAGUAUUGUCCCUUCAAGAAAGUGUAACUGACAAGCAACAGUGACAGCAUAUGAAUUUACAAUUAAAGAAUAUCAGUCAUGGAAUAUUAGCUGAAGACCUCUCUUAACUACAAACAAACUUUAUGAAGAAAAAGUUAAUAAGCUUUACGCUCCUAAAAAGAAAAUAAGUAUAAUCCUGUGAAUUAGAUGGAAAAAUACUGCAGCUGAACAUAACGUUGUUUUGUCACUAGCAAAUUCACUGCUGGCACUGAAUUCAGCCUGCAACAGUAAAGAGGUCAUGACACAACAUCUGUUUUGUGGAGAGCAUAGUUAUUACCACCAGUAAUACUGUGAACGCUGGAAUGGAAAAAAUAACUCUAGACCAGAGCUGCUGUAGUAAUGUCUUUGACCAUUGUGUGGGUUACAGGAGCUGGAUUUCCCCUGGAUGUGUGCUUGGAAGGCCUGACAAGGAAUAAUUCCAGCCACAAAUAAGGCCAUGACCCUGCAAAACAAGAAGUGCUAGCGGCUGCUUUUUGCACCAACGUGAAGUUGACAUGGAGCUUUGCUUGCAGCAUUAAGCAGGUGAACAGUAAAGAAAGCAGUUGCCAGUUACAUCCAGGGUGUUUUAAUCAGAGAGAGACUUCCAGUCAGUGUCCACAGCUAGUUGAGCAGCUAGGGAUUUUAUUAUUUCUAUUGGUCUUAAUGUGAAGUGUGCCAAAGUGACAGUAUGGAGCAUUUUCUGCACUGAUGCCUGUGAGUGGGGUUAACGUUAGCCCACUUUCUAUAAGAAACUUGGCCAGAGGGGUUUUGCUGCGGGCUACCUGGUAGAUCACUG
rnacentral:lncRNA from 1 species